AUUGAACGCUGGCGGCAUGCCUUACACAUGCAAGUCGAACGGCAGCACGGGUGCUUGCACCUGGUGGCGAGUGGCGCACGGGUGAGUAAUACAUCGGAACAUGUCCUGUAGUGGGGGAUAGCCCGGCGAAAGCCGGAUUAAUACCGCAUACGAUCUACGGAUGAAAGAGGGGGACCUUCGGGCCUCGCGCUAUAGGGUUGGCCGAUGGCUGAUUAGCUAGUUGGUGGGGUAAAGGCCUACCAAGGCGACGAUAAGUAGCUGGUCUGAGAGGACGACCAGCCACACUGGAACUGAGACACGGCCCAGACUCCUACGGGAGGCAGCAGUGGGGAAUUUUGGACAAUGGGCGAAAGCCUGAUCCAGCAAUGCCGCGUGUGUGAAGAAGGCCUUCGGGUUGUAAAGCACUUUUGUCCGGAAAGAAAUCCUUGGCCCUAAUACGGUCGGGGGAUGACGGUACCGGAAGAAUAAGCACCGGCUAACUACGUG
rnacentral:rRNA from 1 species